UUUUUAUAGUUCCCACCUUUUGUUCACAAUAUAAAUUCCAUCACCCCCCUAACCAACAUACUCAAAAACCUUGAAUUGUGCAUGUGCUUCUCCUCUUUUCAUCAUUGACAUUUGCAAGUUGUCUAUUUUUCACUUUUAUUUCUAGAAUAAACCAUUUGUGGUUGUGAAAUCAAAAUAUACACAAAAAUGGGAGUUGGAGGAACUCUAGAGUACUUAUCUGAUCUAAUGGGUAGUGACCACCACCACCAACACAAGAUCAAGAAGAAGAAGAAGCAAUUGCAGACUGUAGAAUUGAAGGUGAGGAUGGAUUGUGAUGGUUGUGAGCUUAAAGUCAAGAAAGCCCUUUCUUCAAUAAAUGGAGUGAAAUCAGUGGAGAUAAACAGGAAACAGCAAAAAGUGACAGUAAUGGGGUAUGUGGAGGCAAAUAAGGUGCUAAAGAAGGCUAAGUCAACAGGGAAGAAAGCAGAGAUUUGGCCUUAUGUGCCAUACAACAUGGUGGCUCAUCCUUAUGCUGCUCCUUCUUAUGACAAGAAGGCUCCUCCUGGAUAUGUGAGGAGAUUGGAGACUACUGGAAUUGUUACGACAUAUGAAGAGCCGCGCAUCACCACCAUGUUCAGUGAUGAAAAUCCAAAUGCCUGUUCCAUUAUGUAGAUGAUAGGGAAAAUUAUAAAAAAAAAGGAAAAAAAGUUUUUGUUUUAGCACAGUUAUGUAGAUUUUCUAGUUUUAACUUAGUGUAGUAAGUUCUUCUGUCAAAAUAAACAUGUACUAGGUUCUUUUGUUUUACUUUGUAAACCCUCUGUCACUCUGUGUUGUGUGUUCUCAGCAAUCAAAAGAAACAGUUGUACCGUUGUCAAAAUGAGGCGAAAACAGUGAGAUAUAUCUUUGGGUUU